rnacentral:rRNA from 1 species
UACGUAGGUGGCAAGCGUUGUCCGGAUUUACUGGGUGUAAAGGGCGAGUAGGCGGGAUUGCAAGUCAGAUGUGAAAUGCCGGGGCUUAACCCCGGAGCUGCAUUUGAAACUGUAGUUCUUGAGUAUCGGAGAGGCAGGCGGAAUUCCCGGUGUAGCGGUGGAAUGCGUAGAUAUCGGGAGGAACACCAGUGGCGAAGGCGGCCUGCUGGACGACAACUGACGCUGAGGAGCGAAAGCGUGGGGAGCAA